GUGUGUGUGUGCAGGCGUCCAUUCA
rnacentral:piRNA from 1 species